AAUAGAGAUUGCAUAGAUAUGCACCACCCUUCAUUAAAGGCAGCGAUAUUCUCUCCCACCCAGCCCUGCCCAACCAACACAAUAUUGCACAUAUGCCUCCAGACAAUGAGACUACCACACCUUUUGCCUCUAAUUAAAAUUAUUAAGUCAAGAAGGAAAGAAAUGCAUUUUAGUCUGUGCUUGUUAGCCAAAUGUCUCGAUAAAACUGAACAUGUUCUGCUGCUGCCCACCAUCUGCUCUUAUAAAUACUUAUUAAAAACACUGAAUAGGAAAAUAAAUUUGUCAUCACUGACUUUCAGGGAUUUACACCAACUCUACCCUCAGCUUUGUCUCUAGUGCAGAAUAAUAAACAUCCAUGGAACAUGAUACAUUUUUUUCCCAUUAAAAAUAUUUUGCAUUUCACAAAUUUCCGUAGGAAAGAUUCCAAACAAAUAUGUGCGUGAAGAGUACAUAGAAGAAUGAGGCCAUCUUUAAGAGGAUGGUAAUUUAAUGGGGUAAUCUUGCUUUUCCUCUCUUGACCCAUUCCUUACAUAUUCUCAAUCUUUGCACUGCUGAAGACGUCAGCUACUGCAGAAGUGCUGCAACUCCCUGCCUUUCAUGAAGAGGUAACUAUUCAGGGGGCUCAGCCUUUGAGGCAUCAAAAAAAUUUAUUAAUGUUCCUUCACUACUGGAAAUUCAAAUAUCUUGCAUUAAUGAGUUAAAAAAUAAAUAAAAAAUCAGACUUAACCAUAGCACCCAGUCCAAUCAUGAUUCUUCAUCUAUUGCAAAUGAUAGAAUGAAGAAAUCCCAGCUGAUGCAAUGCAGCCAUCGAUAAAUAGGGGUUUAACAAGAACGUCAGUGCUGUUUCUCUUGCAGGCUCCCUGUUGAACUUUAGGCCUAAUCAUCAUUCCCAGGCUCUCCUCAAGCUAUUUUAAUUAACUUGCCUUCAGUGACUUCUGUAGAAGCAGAUAAAACAUUAUAGGUACAAUGCUAUGGCCAGGUGCAACGUUAAAGCCCGCAGUAUUUGGAAAAUGAGGGAAAAGGGGACUUUCCUGAGAACAGUGCUCAUCUCUAGAACCGUCAUUCUUCAAUGCCUGAAUGACAGAUAGCCCUCCCAGUCAAGAUGCAGUUCCCAGGACAGAAGUGCCUUUACAAAAGAGAUGAAGGAAUGGUACCAGAUAUCAACAUUAUCACAUUCAGAAAGGGCUCAUGGGUACAGGUGCUAAAUUCCCUGAGGCUCUACUUCAGUUUUCCAUCCCAAAACCACAGAGCGAGAAGCUGGAAGUGCAGCAAGAAACAUGGAAGGAGAUUGACGUCUGUUUUCCGUUCCCCUCCCUGAAGCAGGUGCUGGCCAACACCGAGAUACCAAACUAGAGGCUGGUGUACCCAGCAGAUCUGAUGUCCCUAAGAGAUUGUACAGGUCCAAGCAGCAGCUCAAAGCACCAUGAAGUCAAAUGUAACAUUAAAAAUGCAUUCAGCAUGAUAAGUCAGCUUGAACAACAGCUCAAGAGAAUGGGAGAUUUCAAACAUAAGGUGAGUUUUUCACACUUUGAAGUCACUUUGCUGACAAUUCAUACGAACCUUUUCUUAAUCGUUUAAUUACAUGAUUUCAGCUCCAUUAGAGGUACAGAGUAAAAAAUUUAAUCUUUGAAAAUUUUAGGAGUGAGAAAUGUUAGAUUUAAAUUUGGUAGAAAUAGGCAUUGCCCCUCCACUUGGUGAACUCUGUCAAAAUUGUUAAUGUUCAUUUGAAAUCAGUUAUGAAUUAUUCUAGUAAAUAUCAAUUAAUUACCUUCUGCUCGUUGAAAAUGACAUAAAAGUGCUUUCUUUUUCACCUCUGGUCACCUCUAAUUCAUUCCUGCUUCCAUUCCUUCUACUUGCAGAAUCAACAUCUGCCUCAUUCUCUUAUCACCAGUUAACAAGACAUACCAGUAAUCAAAAUUUCUCUACUAUUAAUUUUUUUUUAUUUUAUUUAUUUAUUUUUUUACCUGAAGCAUGAAUUUUGCAACAGAGAAUGUGUGGAAGAAUUAUGGGAAUCAUAAUGAUUUCAGAUUUACAUGUAUGCAAUCCAACAAACGUUAAGGACAAAGUAUAUGAUCAUGCAUAAUGUAGCUCAUAGAUCAUCAGAUUCAUCAAACAACCCUCCAGCGAGAAAGUGAGCUGCAAGUCCUUUUGAUGUUUGGGCUGGGCUCAGUGUUUCACAUAAUUAAUAGACUUUUUUUCAAAACCAGAGAACAGAGUAUUCAUGCAUUGAUGAAGAACAGGCAUACACAAGGGGUACUCAAACAUACUCUUAUUAAAAUCUACAUUAAAUUGCCUGUUGACCUGAGUUGUGAUCAGCGGGCUUUCAGUGUAUGAGAAUAUCCAUUUAAAGCCAUUGGAGGAAAGCAUUUUUUUGCAGAGUCUGAGGCUACUGUGUUGCCAGCCAUACAUGGCCACUAUUGUCUAGGUGAGCCUCACAGCUCUUCAGAUCCAAUUCAGCCUCUUCAUGUUGCAGCCACAGGAAAGGCCACUGAGAGCUGCAGAGUGAAGUCUGUGAUCAGUCUUGAUGCUCACGGCCACAGUCCUCUGAGAUACAGCAAUCUCUGUGGUAAGUAAAUAUUCACGUGGGAAGGAGACAGAACUUUUUUUAGAGCUCUGAAUCUGCAGAAUUAACUUUCUGAGAAGCUAAAGGCCACCAAAAACCACAGAACUUUCUGCUCCCACUAUUUCACAGAAUCACAGAAUUAUUGAGGUUGGAAAAGGCUAGUCAGACCAUUUAGUCCGCUCGUCAAUCCAUCACCACCAUGCCCACUAAGCAUGUCCCUCAGAGCCACAUCUACACAUUUCUUGAACAUCUCCAGGGACACUGACUCCACCACCUCCCUCUAUUGCCUGUUCUAACACAUUACCACUCUUUCCAAGAAGAAAUUGUUUCUAGUAACCAACCUGGUAUUAUUUUACUUAUCCUACUGCAGUUUUUCUCACUUAGAAGGUCCAAGAAGGGUUGUUCCAAGAAAGCAUUGAAGCAGUAUUUAGGAUUGAUCAUUAAUGGUGGUGAUGGAUUGAUGGUUGGACAAGAUAAUCCUAGUGGUCUUUUCCCAUUUUUAUGAUUCUGUGAUUCUUUGACUGUGUAGGGGAGCCUACACAGAACAGAAUACAGUGCCCAUAGGAACUAUUUGCAGUGCAAACUGCAAAUCAACAAUCUAUGUUACAGUGCAUCAGUCACACCAGCGUGAGAACUGGUUUUACUCAUAUUUUUUCCAUCUAAGCAGUUUGGGAAUAGAGAGCAAGACUUGCAUUUACUUUAUGGGGUGUGGAUGCAGAAAGGUUUAGACAAAAUGUUGUCAGAGUACUUACAUAAGUGUCCUAAAAUGAAUCCAACUGCCUUCUGCUAAGUACCUAACUAAAGCCUCUGUGAAGCUUUGUUUAGAAGGCAGAGGUUCCUCAGUCCUAACACCAUGUCUCUUUCAUCCCUCAUUACAAUAAUACUUAAUAUUAUAGCACCAGGUAAUCUAGUAAUUACAGUUUUCCUUUUCAAAUCUACUUGAGUUCACUGAAGCAGUUGGCAUUAAAUCAAUCCUGAGAUUUCUCAAAAGCAGACCAACUUGCUAAAUAUCCUUAUGUGCAAAUGCAUUUACUCAUAUAAACAGUUUAAAACUAAUUUCUGAAAAACAUCAUGUGAAUUGUGUUGUGUCAAACUUGAAAGAAGUUUGACUGCCUCAUCACUAUACGCAGAGGAUCCUGCUUGGGCAAUAAUACUAUCAUCCCUUUCUUUCUAAGGAGGCCUCUUUGACUUGACAAAACAUGUGUUGUCAAAUACAUGACAGAGACAGAUGAUGCAGGAGAUAGCAAGCAGUCACACAGUCUGCAAUUCAGAUCACUACCAAAUACCCAUGAGGCUUUUAUUUUUAUGCUAUAGUUCUUGUGAAUUUGUUUUCUCAAUGCAUUCAUCAUUACAGAAGUAGUUCAUCAGUUACUACAGUGCCAAGGUGAAGAAUAUGAGGAAGAGUGUGCAGAUAGGAAAUGUCCUGCCAUUUGUACACUAAGCCGCAGCUCUCCUGCUUGUCACACUCUAGGCUUGGUGCAAAUUGAGAUUUAAAAGAAAUAGGAAGGAUUAGGAAAAGGCAUUGAAAUCUUGUAUUUGCAGGUUUCCUGCAGCCAGAUUAUACACAUUAAAAAUAAUCAUUUUGGUGUGGAAUUACUUCUUAGAAGCUAAGUAGAACUCAGACUGUAAGAAAAGCAGCAAGCCAGAAAAGCCAGGGAAAGUAUAGCAUUUCUGAGAGCAUAUCUGCAGAUUUCUGCUUGAGCUGCAUAGUCAGGUUUGUCACAGAGGAGCUGCUUGGACCUACAGAGCAGAUGUUAGGUCACACCAUGACUGUUUUGUAACAUCAUUGCUGAGCCUUUCUGAAUAAUUUCACUUAGAAUCAUAGAAUCAUUAGGGUUGGAAAAGACCACUAAGAUUAUCUAGUCUGACCCAUCCCCACAUGCCCACUGACCGUGUCCCUCAGUGCCACAUUCACACAUUUCUUGUGCACCUCUAGGGAUGGUGACUCCACCACCUCCCUGGGCAGCCUGUUCCUAUGCCUCACCACUCUUUCUGAGAAAAAAAUGUUUCCUAAUGUCUAACCUGAACCACCCCCUGGCACAACUUGAAGCCAUUACAUCUCAUCCUUGUGUCGACACUGUGACUAUGAGCACUUGAACAUAUGUGUAUUCCUAAACAAAUCCAAAUGACCAGAUUGUCUUCUAUGUGUGAGAGCAUUUGUAGGUAGAUAUAUGGGCUGCCCAGGGAGGUGGUGGAGUCUCCUUCUCUGGAGACGUUCAAGACCUGCCUGGAUGCCUACCUGUGCUACCUGGUGUAGGGAACCUGCUUUGGCAGGGGGGUUGGACUCAAUGAUCCCUGGAGGUCCCUUCCAACCUCUACAAUUCUGUGAUUCUGUGAUUCUGUGUGUUUCCUUGCUUCCCUCCUUAUCCCUCUUAUUCACAUUUAACAAAUCUCCAGUACUAUGGACAUAAAAUCGUGAGGAUAACCUGACACUUGUAAUCUCUUGAUGUUUUUUUGUUGUUUUUUUUAUUUAAUUAUUUAUUUACAGUGUAUCUUUUUACCUAGAUUCCUUUGAAAAUCAUAGCUCAUCUGGGACAAGGGUGACUCCAUACUACUUGUUCAACUGAAAUAUUCAGCAAACACUAUUAAAGGAAAUGGUUCCUAAAAGUUCAACACUUCUUCCUAUCUGCUCUGGAUGGAAAAACUCAAGAACAUAAUUUCUGAGACCACCCAAAUUCAGAGGAGAAGAAAAGGCAGAGUGGAAUUGUCAACUUUCUUGUGACUUUAUAUUAUGCUCUUUGGAAUCUCAUUGUCUUGGCUAUAAAUGCAGAAAAAGAUAAAGCAAUUGGAGAAAAGUGAUUAGAUGUAAAACAAUGGUUAAAGAGUUGAAGAAGAGUAAAAUUCCAAUUUGCAAAAGCUGAACAGGGAAAAAAAAGAAAGCAAGCAUAUUGCUGUGACCACAUCAUGUCAAGACUAGGAGAGCUAUUCUGAGCUAUGACAUUACUUCCGUGAAGAAGAGACUUUAUCCUUCAUCUGCAGGGGGGAAAAAACGAAUUGAAGAAAUCUCAAGUUACAGUGUACCUUGCUAAGUGCACCAGUGCUUUUGCAAAAUAUAUGUAAAAAUAUUCCAUCUGCUGGGCUGCAUGCCGACACUUCUUGUCUUCUAGGAAUCAGUCUCUCCACUCAGUCAGGACGACUGUGUGUUUUGCCCCUUACUCCAUCAAGUAAAUCAAAGGGAAAUCACCACAGUAGGAGAUAAUUUUCAUUUGAGUUAACUGGAGUGCUAGCCAAAUGUAGAAAAAUCAUCGCCUCUCAAAGGCUCAGACAUACCAUCUUUUCUAGCAAUGUUUCCCCAGAUCAAGCUUAUUAACUCAUUAUAAUGAAGUAUUUUAAA